rnacentral:tRNA from 1 species
GAGCCUGUAGCUCAGUGGUAGAGCGACCGACCGGUGUGCAGAAGAACAUAGGUUCGACUCCUGUUGGGAGAAGUCG